rnacentral:rRNA from 1 species
GAUGAACGCUGGCGGCGUGCCUAACACAUGCAAGUCGAGCGAUUCUCUUCGGAGAAGAGCGGCGGACGGGUGAGUAACGCGUGGGUAACCUGCCCUGUACACACGGAUAACAUACCGAAAGGUAUGCUAAUACGAGAUAAUAUGCUUUUAUCGCAUGGUAGAAGUAUCAAAGCUCCGGCGGUACAGGAUGGACCCGCGUCUGAUUAGCUAGUUGGUAAGGUAACGGCUUACCAAGGCGACGAUCAGUAGCCGACCUGAGAGGGUGAUCGGCCACAUUGGAACUGAGACACGGUCCAAACUCCUACGGGAGGCAGCAGUGGGAAUAUUGCACAAUGGGCGAAAGCCUGAUGCAGCAACGCCGCGUGAGCGAUGAAGGCCUUCGGGUCGAAAAGCUCUGUCCUCAAGGAAGAUAAUGACGGUACUUGAGGAGGAAGCCCCGGCUAACUACGUGCCAGCAGCCGCGGUAAU